rnacentral:rRNA from 1 species
UAGGGAAUCUUCGGCAAUGGGGGGAACCCUGACCGAGCAACGCCGCGUGAGUGAAGAAGGUUUUCGGAUCGUAAAGCUCUGUUGUUAAGGAAGAACGAGUGUGAGAAUGGAAAGUUCAUGCUGUGACGGUACUUAACCAGAAAGGGACGGCUAACUACGUGCCAGCAGCCGCGGUAAUACGUAGGUCCCGAGCGUUGUCCGGAUUUAUUGGGCGUAAAGCGAGCGCAGGCGGUUAGAAAAGUCUGAAGUGAAAGGCAGUGGCUCAACCAUUGUAGGCUUUGGAAACUGUUUAACUUGAGUGCAGAAGGGGGGAGUGGAAUUCCAUGUGUAGCGGUGAAAUGCGUAGAUAUAUGGAGGAACACCGGUGGCGAAAGCGGCUCUCUGGUCUGUAACUGACGCGGAGGCUCGAAAGCGUGGGGAGCGAACAGG